UACGGGGGGGGGCAAGCGUUGUUCGGAAUUACUGGGCGUAAAGGGCUCGUAGGCGGCCAACUAAGUCAGACGUGAAAUCCCUCGGCUUAACCGGGGAACUGCGUCUGAUACUGGAUGGCUUGAGAUUGGGAGAGGGACGCGGAAUUCCAGGUGUAGCGGUGAAAUGCGUAGAUAUCUGGAGGAACACCGGUGGCGAAGGCGGCGUCCUGGACCAACACUGACACUGAGGAGCGAAAGCCAGGGGAGCAAACGGG
rnacentral:rRNA from 1 species